GUCUCAGGUGUGAGCUGGUGGUGUCUGCACCCCCAGCAGCUAAGGCGAUGAGCAUUUCUCGGUCCUGCCAGGGAAUCUGAGCGGCACAUAACAACAUCCACUAUGAAAUGUGGUGUGUGCUGGGCGGUGGCUGACUGAGGAGCUCGAGAGUAGGAGUGAGGCAGGCUGUUUUAAAGAGGUGGCAAGGGAAGACCUCUCUGGGCAAAGGCAGAGACUUGCAAAGACUUGAUUGGUGUGAGGAAGUAAGCCAUUCAAAGUCAAGGGCACCAGAGGUUCUAAGCAGAGGAAACAGCAAAUGCAAAGCGGAGAACAAGCUUGGCACAUUUGAGAACCAACAAUAAGUCCAGUGUGUCUGGAGCCACAAGAGUGAAGGAGAGAGCAGCUGGCGGUUCAGCCAAUGGGGUACCAGGAAACCAGAUGGCGGAGAGCCUGGUAGACCAUGCUGCUGAUUUUCUCUCGAGGGCUCACACCCCUGGACUCUGGGUGGUCCUGGGAGGAUGUGAACCCUGUACCCUGACUCCCAUCACUGAGGCCAAGGGUCUGGACUCUUCCUCCUCCUCCUACUCCAGCACAGUGGGGAACCCGGCAGGACAGCUGUCCUCUGAGACUCUUGAGUUCACUCGCUUCAGCCACCAAGCACUGACGGGAGUGUUUCCACCAAAGGGCAGCUCCUGUGGCUUCCACUUCCCCUCUCCAAGGUGCCAGGGUUACUGUCUGUCGUCCAGCCUUCCAUGGCAUCCCUGUCUCUCCAGAUCAUCUCAUUCAAUUCUCUCAUUGCUCCAGUGAGCCUGGAUUGUUUUCUUUUGCCGACAACUGAUACCCUUGCCCUUCCCCAAGGUCACUUACCCAGAUCAAGGUCCAGCCUGAGAUUUGAGUUCCUAUUGAGUCCCCUACAGGAGCACAGCUGUGAGCUAAAUUGUGCCUCUCCCUAGGUUCAUUCCUAACCCUCUCAGACCUCAGGAUGGGACAGUAUUUGGAGACACGGUCUUUAUUGAGCUAAUACAGGUUAAAUAGUUUACUCGGGGGAUCCUCAUCCAAUACAACUGGUGUCCUUAUAGGAGGAAAUUGGGACACACGUUGGUGUGCAGUGGGAAGACCAUGUGAGGACAGACAGAGAAGCUUGGCCAUCUGCAUGCCCAGGAGAGAGACUUAGAACAAAUCAAUCUGCGGACAACUUGAUCUUGGACUUCUAGCCUCCAGAACUGUGAGAAAAUACAUUUCUGUUGUGUAAGCGGCCCAGCCUGUGGUCCUUUGUCAUGGCAGCCCUGGCAGAUGAGUGCAGACCGCACUUCCCACCGCCAUGGUGCCACUGUCUGUGGACAGCAUGCCAGCCUCAUCGCACGAGUCACCCCUGAAGAUGCUCAAAUUAGCAGGCUGUUCUUAGAACCAAAUUUCCUGGACAGGCUUCAGAAAGCAUUCUCUCUGGUGAUACAGACAUCUGAAAGACACACACACACACACACACACACACACACACACACACACACCCCAAAAACAAACAAAAAACCCAUGGCCAAAAAAAGGACCUUUCUCCCUUUCAUUUCUUUAGUAAUGAACAGUGCCCAGAAGAGCAGGAUAGAUGGCUCCUCGGAGAAAACAGAAUCAUUUCUCAAUAAACAAAUGAGAAUUUAGAGCCCGAGCCGACAAGGAAUUUAAUCUUGUUCUCCCAGCAUCCACACGGAGGAGGGAAGCAAGCAGAGGCAAAGACAGACAUCACGGUUCCCCUUGAUUCUAAUAUUGGGUUGGACGGGGGAGGGCGAAGAUCUGCAUGCCGAGCUCCCUUUCUCCACCCACGCCCCUCCUGGCAUACACUCUCAGCAGAGGCUCACCGGGUUCCCCCUGCAAGUAAUUGCAGAGGUCUCUUGGGGACAAUAACCCCGAUGUUACCUCUUGGAGGGUCAGAGGGAAGUGCUUAGGGCUGAGGGAAUGCAAGAGGGUGGAGGCCAAAGGGCUGAAUAUUAAUGGGGGUUAUCACCACCAGCUCUUAAGGUAAUGGAAAAGCCCUCUGCAGAGCCAGGCUGGGGUCGGCCUCACACGGAAAUGCAAUCUUCUGCAACACAGAGUAGGCAGUGACAAGCAGUUUAUCUUCCAUUACUCCAAAGCCUUAAAUCAUUAUUAACCCUAAGCCAGCAAAAGAAACCAAACCACUGACUCCAAUGUCUCCUUAUCUUCCCAGCAAAUAUAAAUGUGCACGACAUUGAGGCACCUGUAUUAGGGGUUGAAUUUUAUCCCUCAACCCGCCACCCUCGGAAAGAAAGCUAUGUUGAAGUUCUAACCCCCAGUACCUCAGAAUAUGACCUUAUUUAAAGAUAGGACCUUAACAGAGGUAAUCACGUUAAAAUAAAGUCCUUAAGGUGGGCCCU
rnacentral:lncRNA from 1 species